rnacentral:misc_RNA from 1 species
UACGUCGUUGGCAAGCGUUGUCCGGAGUUAUUGCGCGUAAAGCGCGCGCAGGCGGCCUCUUAAGUCUGGUGUGAACGCCCCCGGCUCAACCGGGGAGGGCCAUGGGAAACUGGGAGGCUUGAGUAUAGGAGAGGAGAGUGGAAUUCCACGUGUAGCGGUGAAAUGCGUAGAGAUGUGGAGGAACACCAGUGGCGAAGGCGACUCUUUGGCCUAUAACUGACGCUGAGGCGCGAAAGCGUGGGGAGCAAACAGG